rnacentral:rRNA from 1 species
UAGGGAAUCUUCCGCAAUGGACGCAAGUCUGACGGAGCAACGCCGCGUGAGUGAAGAAGGAUUUCGGUUCGUAAAACUCUGUUGUUAGAGAAGAACAGCGCAUAGAGUAACUGUUAUGCGUGUGACGGUAUCUAACCAGAAAGCCACGGCUAACUACGUGCCAGCAGCCGCGGUAAUACGUAGGUGGCAAGCGUUGUCCGGAUUUAUUGGGCGUAAAGCGAGCGCAGGCGGUCAAUUAAGUCUGAUGUGAAAGCCCCCGGCUCAACCGGGGAGGGUCAUUGGAAACUGGUUGACUUGAGUGCAGAAGAGGAGAGUGGAAUUCCAUGUGUAGCGGUGAAAUGCGCAGAGAUAUGGAGGAACACCAGUGGCGAAGGCGACUCUCUGGUCUGUAACUGACGCUGAGGCUCGAAAGCGUGGGUAGCAAACAGG